UACGUAGGGUGCAAGCGUUAUCCGGAAUUAUUGGGCGUAAAGGGCUCGUAGGCGGUUUGUCGCGUCGGGAGUGAAAACACCGGGCUUAACUCGGUGCUUGCUUUCGAUACGGGCAGACUAGAGGCAUGCAGGGGAGAACGGAAUUCCUGGUGUAGCGGUGAAAUGCGCAGAUAUCAGGAGGAACACCAGCGGCGAAGGCGGCGCUCUGGGCCGGAACUGACGCUGAGGAGCGAAAGCGUGGGGAGCAAACAGG
rnacentral:rRNA from 1 species